CCUGGCGGCAGUAGCGCGGUGGUCCCACCUGACCCCAUGCCGAACUCAGAAGUGAAACGCCGUAGCGCCGAUGGUAGUGUGGGGUCUCCCCA
rnacentral:rRNA from 2 species